rnacentral:pre_miRNA from 1 species
GGGGGCAGCACCGGAUCUUGGGCUGUGUCCCCGGUGCCCUGGCCUCCAGGGCCUGCACCACUGGAAUCACGCUCCCAGGGCCAUGCAGCCCCCU